UACGUAGGUGACAAGCGUUGUCCGGAAUUACUGGGCGUAAAGAGCGCGCAGGCGGUCGUUCAAGUCGAGUGUGAAAGCCCCCGGCUCAACUGGGGAGGGUCACUCGAUACUGAUCGACUUGAAGGCAGGAGAGGGAAGCGGAAUUCCCGGUGUAGUGGUGAAAUGCGUAGAUAUCGGGAGGAACACCAGUGGCGAAGGCGGCUUCCUGGCCUGUUCUUGACGCUGAGGCGCGAAAGCUAGGGGAGCAAACGGG
rnacentral:rRNA from 1 species